rnacentral:snRNA from 1 species
ACGCGGUUGAUGCCAUUGGC